UAGAGAAUUCAAAAUUCGUUUUAGACAUAUAUUUAACUCCCUGUAUUUACAUUAACGGAAACAAAUAAACUUCCAAUAUUGAUAGACACUAAAAUACCAAAGUAGUCAAAAUGUUAUAUAUCAAUUCGACAGACGAAUGCAUUGACAAUUCCCUUUGGUGUUUGUAUUUAAAUGUCUGUUGUAAUAAAACAUAAUGAGUUGCCUGGCAGUGAAUCAGUGGUAGUAUUUGUAAAUAAGCCUCAUCAUUUUUUUUAUUCAAUUUAUUCCAAAUUCCCGAAUGAUUACCUCAGGAAUUUUACAUUGAUUAUCAGUGAUAAAAAAAAAUUAAACCGCUUUAGUCGUCAUCUGGAACCGUCUUAUCAUGUAAGAUAUUUUGUCUCGAGUAUAUCCAUCCUCCUGUACUACUGUAACAACAGCACGUGAAAAGGCCGUGAAAUGUCUGUGAAAUAUCACAGGGCCGUGAAAACCUUGUGAAAAUACCCCGUGACUUUUGUAAAAAAAAUAUUUCUAAAGGCCGUGAAAAAUAUUUGAUGUUAGAAAAAGACCGUGAAAUUUCAAUAUCCCGUGAAAAGGCCGUGAUAAUUUGUCCUUUCAUGCUUAAUAAAAAAUAUCACGGCCUUUUCACUGGUUGUUGAAACCAGUGAAAAGGCCGUGAUAUUUUUUCAUGUCAAUUUUUUCUUAUCCUUAUUCAGAUUUAAAACAUCCCAUGUGAUUAUUGUUAUAUGGUCUAAUUAUUUCCACUCACAUUUUUCUAAAUAUCCUAUAAACUUUUCAUUAUAAAUAUAUAUGUCUGUUUAAAUAUUAUUAUAUGCAAUACUACUGUACUGUACAGGACUGACUUUUAAAUGGAACCAUUCAUUGUUAUAAUUAAUGACUUUGUGCCAAUAAAUAUUUUGUAUUUAAAGAAAAGUAUUUUGCUUCUCGUCUGUACAUUAUUAUAAACAAUGUAAACAUUAAUUUUGAUAUUGGAACAGAAACAUGUAAAAACGAGAACUUCCCGGAAUAUCAGCCGUAUCCGGAUUCGUGUUUCUUUUAGAGUAAUUGUAACAUUUCCGCAAAAGGUUGGAAAUUUGAAAGGGUAUCGGGUCCGUUCGCGCCCAAUACACGUUCGCACCCUACACGUUCGCACCCCACACGUUCGCCCCCUAGGUCCGUUCGCACCCUACACGUUCGCACCCUUUUUUUUAUUCAAAAACCUGAUAAUUUUUUAGAUGUUUUGUAGAUGUUUAUAUCAAAAUAUUUUUAUUUUCAUAAAUAAAAAUUCGGGAAUUUUUAAAUGAAAUAUAGUUUUAAAUUGAUUUGAUGAAUAAAUAUUAAAUGUUAAUUAUGUAUGAUUACUGCUUAUUGGUAUUUAUUCACAGCCUAAUUUGGUGUUAUUGUUGAGUGUUUGAAAAUCAUGAUUGUUGUCAUGGUUGUUUUAACUUGCGUUGAUGUAAAUACUGCAUGUAUUUAGCUUGGUAUGAGUAAAACUUUGAAGAUUUAAAAAAAAAACAUGAAAGAUAAUUGUUUUUAACUGCUUGGCUCCUUUGAUCCCACGUGUGUCAGAAUCCCACUUUAUUCAUAAACAAUGAAAAAAACUAUUUAUAGCAAUACACUAUCCAAACAUGAUUAAAAAUUAUUCAACACAAAAAUAAAAUACUGGUCGUCAGAAUCUCACUUUAUUUUAAAACAAUGAAAAAAAUGUUUAUAGCAAUAUAUUUACCAUGACACAAAAAAAACCUUGUCAGAAUCUCACUUUAUUUAGAAACAAUGAAAAAAUAUAUAUUUAUAGCAAUACACUUACCAAAACUCGUUUACAAAUUAUUAAAAACAAAACCAAUAAAAAAUGGGCGCGAACGUGUAGGGUGCGAACGGACUUCGGGUGCGAACGUGUAGGGUGCGAAAGUGAAAGGGGGCGAACGUGCAUGGGGGCGAACGUGAUUGGGCGCGAACGGACCCGGAUUCAUUUGAAAGACGCCGAAGGUCGAUUAAUAUUUACUUUAUAGAUGCAAGACGAGUGACAGCAAGUUUGAGGAAUGAAGAGCAAAAGGAUAUAGCAGUCUUUAUAUAAAAUAGUUCAGGAAUCCAGUUGGAAAGAAGAGCUUUUCAGUAAAAAGUAUUUCCUGGGAAUUAACAGGAACUUCUAUAAAUGUUUUUCUGGAAUAGUUAUUCAAAAGAGCAGUGAAGUGAAGGAUUACAUUAGACAAAUAUUGCUGAAGUGGUAAAAUCACACCCAAGAGAUGUACAAAAUUUCUACAAUACAUGUUACAGCUGACUUUAGCUACUUAAUCACAUUGACAUUUGUGUGCUUUUAUGUUUUCUUUACAUAAUUACUACAGUUCUAUUAAAAUUAAUAUUUUUA